rnacentral:lncRNA from 1 species
UCUAAUUCCUCACACAAUAACCGUGACCUGGAAACUAUUUUUUCCCAGAUAUAAACAAUUGUUUUACAAGUAUAAAUGUUGCAUCUUGUAGGCGACAAAACAUUAGUGAUCGCACGAACGGCAUAUAAUUUUUCCCCGCUUUUUAUGCUUUGCAUGACCAUCUCGUCAAUGAUUCGGUACAGAAGUAAAAACAUCGAGGGAUAUAAUAUGCAUUGUAAUA